rnacentral:rRNA from 1 species
GACGAACGCUGGCGGCGUGCCUAAUACAUGCAAGUAGAACGCUGAAGGAGGAGCUUGCUCUUCUGGAUGAGUUGCGAACGGGUGAGUAACGCGUAGGUAACCUGCCUGGUAGCGGGGGAUAACUAUUGGAAACGAUAGCUAAUACCGCAUAACAGUAGAUGUUGCGUGACAUUUGCUUAAAAGGUGCAAUUGCACCACUACCAGAUGGACCUGCGUUGUAAUAGCUAGUUGGUGGGGUAACGGCUCACCAAGGCGACGAUACAUAGCCGACCUGAGAGGGUGAUCGGCCACACUGGGACUGAGACACGGCCCAGACUCCUACGGGAGGCAGCAGUAGGGAAUCUUCGGCAAUGGACGGAAGUCUGACCGAGCAACGCCGCGUGAGUGAAGAAGGGUGUCGGAUCGUAAAGCUCUGUUGUAAGAGAAGAACGAGUGUGAGAGUGGAAAGUUCACACUGUGACGGUAUCUUACCAGAAAGGGACGGCUAACUACGUG